rnacentral:sRNA from 2 species
GCAGCGAGAGAACGUUGCGUCAGCAACGGCCCGCAGGGCGAGCCACGCAGUGGCGAGUCAUCCUCUAUCACCGACCA